rnacentral:other from 1 species
AUCCCCCUGCGGUGUGCGAGAAGGCACAUAAUUUCCUUGAACCAAUGUGUUCGCUUUGGUUGUUGGCGUUAACGUGUACCGGCGUGUCGCUCCGCUUGUCGGAAGCGCCCAAAGUGCAAGGCCGAUGACCCCCUUUGUCCAAGGGUUCAAGCGAAUUUCGCCGGAUCGCCACUCGCGGGGGGCUC